rnacentral:rRNA from 1 species
UAUUGCGCAAUGGAGGAAACUCUGACGCAGUGACGCCGCGUAUAGGAAGAAGGUUUUCGGAUUGUAAACUAUUGUCCACAGGGAAGAUAUAAGACUGUACCUGUGAAGAAAGCUCCGGCUAACUACGUGCCAGCAGCCGCGGUAAUACGUAGGGAGCAAGCGUUAUCCGGAAUUAUUGGGUGUAAAGGGUGCGUAGACGGGAUAACAAGUUGGUUGUGAAACCCCUCGGCUCAACUGAGGAACUGCAACCAAAACUAUUAUUCUUGAGUGCAGGAGAGGAAAGUGGAAUUCCUAGUGUAGCGGUGAAAUGCGUAGAUAUUAGGAAGAACACCGGUGGCGAAGGCGACUUUCUGGACUGUAACUGACGUUGAGGCACGAAAGUGUGGGGAGCAAACAGGA